GAAUAUUGCACAAUGGGCGCGAGCCUGAUGCAGCGACGCCGCGUGCGGGAUGGAGSCUUCGGGUUGUAAACCGCUUUUGUUCAAGGGCAGGGCACGGUUUGGGCCGGGUGGAGGGAAUGGUUCGAAAAACCACCGGCAACCAACGUGCCACCACCCGCGG
rnacentral:rRNA from 1 species